GAUGAACGCUGGCGGCGUGCCUAAUACAUGCAAGUCGAGCGAACAGACGAGGAGCUUGCUCCUCUGACGUUAGCGGCGGACGGGUGAGUAACACGUGGAUAACCUACCUAUAAGACUGGGAUAACUUCGGGAAACCGGAGCUAAUACCGGAUAAUAUAUUGAACCGCAUGGUUCAAUAGUGAAAGACGGUUUUGCUGUCACUUAUAGAUGGAUCCGCGCCGCAUUAGCUAGUUGGUAAGGUAACGGCUUACCAGGGCAACGAUGCGUAGCCGACCUGAGAGGGUGAUCGGCCACACUGGAACUGAGACACGGUCCAGACUCCUACGGGAGGCAGCAGUAGGGAAUCUUCCGCAAUGGGCGAAAGCCUGACGGAGCAACGCCGCGUGAAUGAUGAAGGUCUUCGGAUCGUAAAACUCUGUUAUUAGGGAAGAACAAAUGUGUAAGUAACUAUGCACGUCUUGACGGUACCUAAUCAGAAAGCCACGGCUAACUACGUG
rnacentral:rRNA from 1 species